rnacentral:lncRNA from 1 species
GAUAUUUGCAGGAGGCUUGACCUAAUUUGCUUUUCUUUCUUUUUUUAUAACAGACAAUAGGGUGGCCUGAACUUGAGACUUCCACUGGAGUGAGGUGUGACCCAUUCCCACCACCCUCCCCCGCAGGGGCAGACUUCACAGAGACCCAGACCUCCUCGCAACCUGCGGAUAAAGCAGACAGUGGCCCAUCUGUGGAAACCGUGGAGCCGAGCCAGGAGCCCCCUGUGGAUGUCAGCGGGGACCCCGGUCCUCAGGAUGCUUUGGAGGUGGACCUGGCCGUGUCCGUUUUCGAGAUCUCCAUCGAAGAGAAGGUCGAGGCGCCGAGCCCCGAGGAGGAAAGGAGGCACUGGGAGGAGGGGCGCAUCGACUACAUGGGGAAGGACGCCUUCGCCCGCAUCCAGGAGAAGUUGGACCGCUUUCUGCAGUAACGGGCGGGCGGGCGUGCUGCCCGACGUGCGGGAGUCAGCGGUGAGCUGUUGCAUGGUCCCGUUGCUCGGACAUCUCCUCCAGGCCCUUCAGACGGAACCGGGUUUCAACCAUGUGCCUCGAUUUACGGCUGACUCACCUGAGUGCCUCACAGAAAUAACGCAGCCCCGCUUGAAGCCGUCCCCAGCGCCCCCGAUGCGAGCUGCCCAUGCCUUCUUGGCUGCCCCCUCUGAGAAGCCCGUUCUUCUCAGCAGACGGGAGCAGUGCUAAACUUGUGGUAGACCCUUGCCCAUGCCCCCUGCUCUGGCUCCAAGGAGCACGAGCUCCGCCUUGCACAGGUGCUACCCUGUCUGUCCUAUGUGGGGUUAGACGUCACUGCACCUUGACCUCUGCCCGUAAGCUGAGGACGCCGUAUAUGCAUUCAGGAACCCUCAAGCGUGGAAAGCCCUUUCCCCGAAGACUAGGUAGACGCUCACACGGCUUGGGGGUGAGUCUCACGUAGACUGUGCAGAGCAUGUCUGAGAAACCCGACAGCUAUUUCUUUUAUGCAAAACCCAACGGGACUGCCGAGUGCCGAUGGCUGACGCCCAAUGGGGGAAAUGGCGGAGCUGACGGAAGGGACAGCAGCCAGCUUGGGAGAUAGAGCGUCUUCUCAGUUUGGAAGAACCAAGGGUUCAUGCAGUGCAGGUGUUCUGGCGACGCCUCUUGCACGCUAGGAGCAUCUCCAGAAGCGCUUUGUUGAGAGGCAGUCCGUCCCCCUUGACUGCGUGAUGCUGGAAAUCAUCACUACCUCAGCCUACAUAACGGGUCCAGUCACCGUGCUCUCCACGUCAAGGCUGCUGUUUUGGGAACAAUUCUCACGUUUAUGAGACGGGAUGCUUGACUCCAUGAGAAAUCCUCAUCUCCAGAAGUGUCCUGGUCUUACGAAUUCAUGCAGCACGCCGGAUACCUCAUAGGGUCGCUGCUUCUGGCCACCACAGUUGCAAUUAAAAACAGGCAUCUCCGAGCUAGAGAGGGGACUGUGAUGUGAUUUGUCUUGCACGUACUGUGAAACAUCGGUGGGUGUUGUACCCAGGUUUGGGCCACACGGUAACGGCUGUGUUAUGACCUGGUAAGUGUGUUUGCCCAUAUUUCGCAUCAUGUGAAGCAGGGGAGCCCUUGGGUAGGUGAAUCUGGGGAGUCUAUGACACGAGUUGUGCCGUGAGCUUUUGCACCGUGUGAGUUAUGUAACGCUUUGUUUCCUUCCGCUCUGGGAGGCUAACGGUCUGUGGUCUUAGUUGACAUCACACACAGGAUGCUUUUGGGGCUAAUUGAAGACAGCCAUAUGGAUACAGCCUUAGAGGGAUUGGGUCGGGAUGGCACUCAAUCAUUAGAAUAACACUACAUUUAUUUGGGGGAAAGUCGACAGGUGUUGUGUGCUGUGGUGUUAGGCUAUGAGCGACAGGAGCCCAAGUCUGACAUACGUAAGAAGGAGGAACCCAGACGACAAAUAUUCGAGUCUGGUUUGCCUCCUAUAGGGAAGAGAACUCCUGUUUCCAGACAGUGGUUCACUGGCUUAAAGAAUACAUUCAACACAGAAUUCUGUUAUGCAUUCUGGUCUACAUCUCCUGAUUUGAAUGGAUGCUAACGCAUAAAAUUAAAAAUUUGAAACAGCAAUAUGGUGCCCUUUCUGGUGUGUGUG